rnacentral:rRNA from 1 species
UACGAACUGUGCGAACGUUAUUCGGAAUCACUGGGCUUACAGGGUGCGUAGGCGGCUCAACAAGUCAGGUGUGAAAGCCCCCGGCUCAACCGGGGAACUGCGCUUGAAACUGUUAGGCUCGAGUCAGCUAGAGGUACACGGAACUUCCAGUGGAGCGGUGAAAUGUGUUGAUAUUGGAAGGAACACCGGAGGCGAAAGCGGUGUACUGGGGCUGGUCUGACGCUGAGGCACGAAAGCCAGGG